AUGGCUAAAAGCUCCAAAAGCCUUUGUUCUCACCCCAUGGGCACGGCCCCUAGCCCCACUGUGCCUCCUGGCAGAACUAAGGAGCCACGCACGUGGAUGGUUUGUUUCACUGGCCUGCCAAGCAGAUGGAUGUUGCUCUGCUAGGUGAGGUUUAACACAAGUGGGUUUUAAGCUGGGUUCAAACCUUCCCCUAAAAAUCAUCCCUAAUAGUUAAAAGAAGCCAGAGCAGAGUGCCACAGGCAGCCAAGGCACAGUGUCUCACCCUGAACUGACCUGGUCAAAGAGAGAUGGAUAAAAGAAAAUGUUAGUGGUGUAACACACGACCGAGGAAGGGGGGGGCUGACACUUCACUCCCAAACAUCUGAAGCAGAUAAAAGCGAGGAUCAGAUGUUGUCUGCCACAGAGCAGGGCUGUAGCCUAGGAGCCCUGUGGGACAACAGACUUUUCAUGUUUCCCUAAUGUAAUCCAGGGCUUGGCCUUUCUUUAAUAUCUUAAUAUGAGUCACAAAGAUAAUCCCCUGAAUUGGCGUGAGGUUGCUAAGUAUCAGAAGGGGAUUUCCUAUGUGUUGUGAGUUUGGAUCUGGAGUCAAAAAGCCCCUUGGCUAAGGCUAAAUAAAAUGGGAUGUUUCUUUGCGUUAUGUUCAAAACAGUAUCACCUUCUAACUGGCCUUCCCUUUCUGCUCUCUCUGUCCUCCCGAGGCGUGGAAGUUUUCUUGACUUCUGUCUCUCCUAAUUUAGGCACUAGACCUGUGAAUUUGGCAGCUGGCUCUGUUAGCGUCCUAGUGCAAGUGGGUGGUUUUGUCAACAUGUUUUGGAUGACAUCUUGCCACAGCACAGCGGGAGUUGGUUGCAGGGAUGGGUGUCCAGCUCCUCUGGCUCGUGCUCCCAGCUAGGGAAACAUUCCAGGUCCUCUGCUCUCCAGGAAAAGCAUCCUUAUCUUUGCCAUCUUCUCCAAAGAGCCAGGCUUUGGGGCUGCAGGAACUGGGUAGGCAAGUUAGGGGAGAAACAACUGUGAAACAUGGACGGCUGAAGCAAACUGCUGGCUUUAAGUCUGGCCAGCAGUGCUGCAUGUGGGGGCUCCCUCCGGUUGUCUGGGUUGGUUUUGCUGUGGAAAGCUCCUCUCCCAGGAACGGCUGUCACCGUUCUUCCUCCAACCCCAGCCUCCAUGUCACAGGGAGUAAAUGAACUCCAGACUGCAGCUUUAAUAACACACACAGCUCCAGCCUUAAUUUCCUCUCUCUCCCUCAGGGAAAUUUCUUCUGGCAAAGGGAGGGAAAUAAAUAAGUGCACAUUCCCCUUGUGUCUGGAGAUAAUUGGGCUUCAGUUGUUACAUCCAGGGCCAAAGGUUGCUCUCUGAUGGAUUCAGCCCAGAUCCUGGAUCUGAGCUUGCCAGCAUAUGUGACGUUUCAACAUCUGACCCAUCUCAGACCCCGGCGAGCUCUGAAUCAGGCUGUUAUAUGCUAAACCCGUGUUCAGAUCCAUUUCUAAUUGUGAUAAUUGAGUCAUACUGAGUCUGUAUAGUGUCUGUUCCAAGACUUCAGCCCUGCCAUGUAGCCUAAAUUUAUCUUUAGGUUGAAAAGCCGCCGCCUUUAGGAUUCUCGCUUGUAGGACAAAUUUUGCGCUGCAGGCCCCUCUCGCCGCUGUCCUGCGUGUGCUGUGGAUGUUUAAGUUUGCGGAGGGUGGGUAUGAAAUGGCGUCAGGCUAUGGUUACUGGUGCACAGGCUCAGUUAAUGUGCUUGCAGAAGGCAUCAGAGCAGCAGGCCCCCGGCCAGGUUUGCCGGUUAUGUCUGCGAACAGCUCGUGGGCUGUGCCGAGCAGGAAGGGAGAGGCUGGUUUUAAACAUGAGAAGUCCUGCAGGGCCCUCGCCAGAUGCUGCACUCUAAUUGUUCCAGGCUGCAGGGCCGGCGUGGCUCCGGCAUCCUUUGCCUCUCGCACCUUGUCCCGACCCAGUCCUCUUGCCUCGGCUGUGGAGGCAGCACGAGGGAGGUGACCAGACCCCUCUGCCAUCCACACGUGAUACCCUAGCCCCAGAUGAUGUGCUGCAGGGAGAGCGUGACCCCUCAGGGACACUGAGCAUUUGGGAGGGGAAUACCCCCAACGGAGCUGGUGCCAGCCAAGCUGUCUGCCAGGGAUGAAGGAUGAGAGCGGUCUAAUUGUGCCAGAGGCAUUUAUGAGAAAUGUACCCAAGGAAAAACCCUAUGCUUUUCAGUUUGUAGAGGGAGGAUGCCAAACUUAGAGCUGUGUCAUCUUGAAAAGCAAAUUGUUCUCAAGGAGGAAAGGAGUGGAAGUUAUUUUCCUGAAGGAGCAUGUUUUCUGUGACCACGGGAGCACGCUUUACCCUGUAGCAUCAGGAAACAGGAUUCUUCCCAGUGUGAGCCUCGUAGCAGCAGGGAGCUUACACCAGGCAUGUAGGGACCAUGAUAUAAUGGGUUGCUUUCUGAGGAACCCAGGUCAGGAGCAGAUGUGAAACAGGGCUGUGCACAGGCCCAGACAGCAGAAGUCAUCCUGGCACCACCUGAGCUUGUGGAUGUAGUUGUAAUACAGAUCUGACCAUGAUCCUAGAAAAUAAAUAAAAACCACAAACAUGCGAGUGUUGUGAUGGCUGGUAUAAAACUUGGUGCUUUGGAUUUUAUUGGGGUUUCACUGUCUAAUCCUGUACAUGUAAAAUCACAGCAGCCUUCUGUCUGCCAGAGGGAUGCAGAUGGCAUUUCUUUCUCACUGCUGCCUGUCCUGGGCCAGUGAGGUUUUGCAUUCCCCAGCCACAAGGGUGCAGCCAGUCAGCAUGCGCUGAGCCUCUGCCAAACAAAACAUGCCGUGAUUCUUGGUUUGGGCUCGCCUGUGAUUUCCUUGGGAGUGGUGGGCCUGGAAGGGGGGCUCUGGUGCUCGACUGCUGCACUGUUCAUCUGCCUUGGAAACGUGUCCUGCCUUCUCACAGAGACAGUGCUGAAGGGUCACUGUCUGCUCGAGGGCUGUUCCUCGGGGGUUUCUUGAAGUUACAUCAUGGAUCUGGAGUGGAGUCUCCUGUAAAUGUUCGCCUUUCUUUAAAAUUACAUCUUUUUGGAUUUAAAAAGAAAACAUGCUUUCUUAGCUGUGUUAGAACAUGAGACUCAGAGGAAAA